rnacentral:rRNA from 1 species
ACAAUGGAGAGUUUGAUCCUGGCUCAGGAUGAACGCUAGCUACAGGCUUAACACAUGCAAGUCGAGGGGAAACGAUAGAGAAAGCUUGCUUUUUCUAGGCGUCGACCGGCGCACGGGUGAGUAACGCGUAUCCAACCUGCCCACCACUUGGGGAUAACCUUGCGAAAGUAAGACUAAUACCCAAUGACGUCCAUAGAAGACAUCUGAAAUGGAUUAAAGAUUUAUCGGUGAUGGAUGGGGAUGCGUCUGAUUAGCUUGUUGGCGGGGUAACGGCCCACCAAGGCGACGAUCAGUAGGGGUUCUGAGAGGAAGGUCCCCCACAUUGGAACUGAGACACG